rnacentral:lncRNA from 1 species
CAGAAGACAAGAAAUAACUAACAUCAGAGCAGAACUGAAGGAGAUAGAGACAUGAAAAACCCUCCAAAAAAUCAAUGAAUCCAGGAGCUGGUUUUUUGAAAAGAUCAACAAGAUAGAUAGACCACUAGCCAGACUAAUAAAGAGAAAAAGAAAGAAGAAUCAAAUAGACACAAUAAAAAAUGAUAAAGGGGAUAUCACCACUGAUUCUACAGAAAUACAAACUACCAUUGAGAGGUGAGGCCAGCUGGACUUCCCGGCUGGAGUGGGGACUUGGAGAACUUUCCUGCCUUACAAGGGGAUUGUAAAAUGCACCAAUCAACGCUCUGUAGCUAGUAAGAGGUUUGUAAAAUGGACCAAUUAGCGUUCUGUAAAAUGGACCAAUCAGCACUCUGUAAAAUGGACCAAUCAGCAGGAUUCUAAAAGUUACCAAUCACGGGGAGGAUUGAGAAAAGGGCUUUCUGAUAGGACAGAAACAGGACAUGGGAGAGGACAAAUAAGGGAAAAAAGCUGUCCACCCCAGCCAGCAACAGCAACCCACUCAGGUCCCCUUCCACGCUGUGGAAGCUUUGUUCUUUUGCUCUUCACAGUAAAUCUUGCUGCUGCUCACUCUUUGGGUCCAUGCCACUUUUAAGAGCUGUAACACUCACCGUGAAAACCCGCAGCUUCAUUCUUGAAGUCAGCAAGACCAUGAACCACCAGAAGGAACCAACUCCGGACAUAUCUUGGGGGCUCAUCUGGGAUUUCGCCAUGUGCAUGUGUAUGGAAAGAGGAGAGCAUCUGUUUCUAUAUGGAGAGAACAGAACAUGAGAAUCUCAUAACAGAGGUUGUUUCCAAAUUGGAACUGAGGAACUGGAGAUAAGAGGAAAAACAAACAUUAAGAAAAAGCAGUCCUUGUGCUCAAGAAAAUACAUAUGGAAGAUAUGGAAAAAGCAAGUACUGAACUAAUCUUAAUGCAAGGCAGGAUAUGAGAUGUCACAAGAAAGGUACAAAUAACGUGCAGUGGAGAAUCAGAAAAGGGAGAGGUUCAUCUGAUUGCAUGAUGGAAGCAAAUCAGGACACAUUUAUAGAAGAGGUGGUGUAAGAAGCAGGAUCCAAAGUUGAGCUUCUAGAGAUCCCCAGGAGCACUGAAUUAACCCACAAGGUACCUGAAGGAUCUACUUUUGUCCACUGAUCUCUCAGAGCAGUUGGGGAUUGUGGGUAAGCACCCUCUCAGAUUUUGGAGCUCCAUGGAUUUGUGUUUUGAGCUGAGUUUCUUCGAGCGAAUUUCUGAUCCAAACCGGGUUUGGAAGUUGCAACAGAAACUGGACUGGAUCCAAGAAUGAAUUUGAUUGUGGAAUUAACUGGCUUGGUUCCAGUUAGAGACUUCUUACAUCUGACUGGGUCAGAUAGGAACUGGUAGUAAGCAGUAAUAUCACUGUAGUUAUAAUAUUUGGCUUUUGAAAAAUCAUUGGGAUUUUUGUGUUCUACCCCUUUGUUUCAUUUUUCUUGUGUACUUAGGUAGGAAAAAUAAUCAUUGGCUAAUCGAGAGAACCUGAGAGUAAAGCCAAUAUUUUAGGUAAAAAUGGGAUCUUUAAUUCCUGGAAAACUGAGUUCUUUCCAGCUUAUACAUUAGGCCUGGGAGGCAGUAAAUUCUUCAGAAAUGGCAAAAUCUUAGUAAUUUACAGUGGAAUGUUCUCAAUGAACAACAGAUUGGAGUACAUUUAAAAAUGAGGGCUCUGAGUGAGUCCCUUUAGGCUAAGAAUGGGUUUGGCACUCUAAAAUGUUAGCUUCUAUUCUCUUUGGAUUAAUUUGUCUUACACUUUUUGCUGACAGCUACGGGUGAUAGAAUUAGAUAUGUACAGGACCAUGGGACAUGGGGAGCUUUUUCCUUCCCAAAGGGGAAAUUGAGAGCUGAUGGGACUGCUGGAAAAGAUCCCUUUGCUACUGACAAGUGGCCACCUGAACUUUUUAGAGUUGCUGCAAUGGGUGGAUCUUUCUCUGGCCUCCCUGAACUCAUCACCUUCCCCAUCCUGCCAUAGGCAAUGCUUUUCUCUCUCUCCUUUCCCUUUCUUAUCUUUUCUAUUACCCAGGGCAACCAUCUUUCCCAGAGACUACAUGCUUAAACUCCUAGUUGGAGGUUGGAUUAAACAUAACAGAUCCAUCUAAGGGCAAACUUAAGCCCUGACAGUUUAAUAUUGGGUGCUAAGCAGAAUGGCUAAUGUCUAUUUUUUCAUACAUAUUUUACUCUGGCCAGAACAGAAACAGAUAAUUUUCCUUUGUGCUGUGACUUGGCCCCCAGGGCUGCAGUGCAGCCAGCUGGGUCACUCAGAGAAAAGAAACCCAGAAGCCUGGCAUGAUAGCAAAAGGGUAAGAAUUUCUUACCAGCCAGACUUCUGGUCUCUCUCUCUCUCUCUCUCUCUCUCUCUCUCAAUCUCUCUCUCUCUCUCCCUCUCUGUGUGCAAACUGGUUGAAUGGAUGAAUGGUAAAAAUCACUGUUUAUUUCCUCUGUAAAGUUUUGAUUAAUGAGAAAAAGGAUUUGUGAUGCUAAUCUCUCUCUCUUUUUUUUUUUAAGAUGGAGUUUCACUCUUUUGCCCUGGCUGGAAUGUAGUGGUGCAAUCUCGGCUCACUGCAACCUCCACCUUCCAGUUUCAAGAGAUUCUCCUUUUAAGCGAUUCUCCUGCCUCAGCCUCCCAAGCAGCUGGGAUUACAGGUGACUGCCACCAUGCCCAGCUAAUUUUUGUAUUUUUAGUAGAGAUGGGAUUUCACCCUUUUGGCAAGGCUGGUCUCGAACUCCUGACCUCAUGAUCCACCCACCUUGGCCUGCCAAAGUGCUGGAAUUACAGGCAGGUGAGGCUAAUCUUAAAUUGUAGUAAUCUAGUGUGAUUUGUAUGUCUUUCUGUGUUCUAUAACGUAGAGGGGUACCUUUGGAUAGAACAUGGGCUUAGGAUACCUAUAAGUCCGCUGUUGAAAACAGUCCAGCAAACUGGUAAGUUAUAAACUUUGCUGCAGGUCCCUGAAGAAAAACAAAACAAAACAAAACAAAACUGGAUGAGGUCUUCCUCUUGUCUUGUAUGUCCUUGGGACCUUGACCUUGUAACUAUGUGGCUGUGCUUUCUCUUUUCACAGUGAUGGCCCAGGUUCAGUGUCCAAUUCCUGACUUGGAAAAUGAGUCCUUUAUCUUCUGUCUUUGUAUUUAUAUGUAUUAUUAUGUAAUGUUUAUAUAUGAAAGAGCUUUAACUAACUGGUUUAAAAAUAAUAAGAGCUUAAAUCAAAUAUUUUGUUAGAAAAGUAAAAAGUGUAAUGCCUUUUAAUUAUGUGACAUAAGUAACCUUGGGGAAAUAAAGACAGUUUUACAAAUUAUUGGUAAAAAGUCUUCAAAAGUGUAAAUAUUUGGUCUAAAUUAUGCCAGUCAGAUAUUAAGUUUGCUAAUUGCUUUAAAGUCAUAACCUGCUACUUUGAGUUUUAAAAAUUGUUCAAUUUAUUUUGGAUCAUUAGAUUCUAGAUAAGGCCUGGGGACAUAUUAAAUUAGCCAUACACCCUAGCUAUGAAAAAAAGGUAUUAAAGAGGGGAGAUUUUAUAUAAGAAAGGAUCUUGUAGAGUAAGUUAUUGUCCUAAAGCUAAAGUAAAGUAACUGGCUGUUUAAACAGAGGAAUAUUUAGGACAAGUUAGAAAGUCAAAGUAUGUUGUAGAUGGUCUGUGAAAGUCAUGAAAGAAUUUGUGAAAAGGAAUUUAUACAAGAAAUGUUGUACAAUUUAAAGGUGAUUAGGCCUCAUAAAUGCUUGAUAAAAUGCCACUAUGACUCUUAACAGUACAACUUACCUGCUUUACAGUUAGGCAAGGCCUGGGACACGGUGCUGGAAAGAGUCAGACCUUAUCUGCAUUUCUGUCUGGGUCCGAGGCUCCACACCUAGUACAUAAUUAAAACCCUGAACUUACUAGAGUUUUUCACCAAAAGUAAAAAUUGCUAAGGAUUAACAGUGUAGCAUGUAUAAACAUUUAUUUGAAACUACUGAAAAAACAGUUUUACAUGCAAGGUUUGUAAAGAAAGUGAAAUGUGUUUUUGGUAAAAAAUUAUUAAAAGUAAUGGAAGUGUGAAUUUUUUGGCCUAAGUUUAGAGGGUUAAAGUAUUGUUUUAAGUGAGAUAGGAAAUAUUUAAAGGUUUAAACAAGUUGUGGAAGGUUUGUGAAAAUUAACCUUGUAAAAGAAAUUCUAUGUGUGAAAAGAUUGGCUAAAUGUAAAGGGGUACUAUUUGGUUUUCCAUAAAUUGAACAUCAAAAUAAAAGCACAACAGGGUUUUCUUAAAACACUAAGCUCUUUAACAAAAAUUUGUAAUGGGUUAUAAAAGCUUUAUAAAAAAUCUCACCUUAUAGUCAAGCUGAUUAAGACUGUAUAGAUUUUUCUAUGAGGUUUUAUUAAAACUUGGGGUUGACAUUAAUAGUCCACUAAUGCAAAGGUAAAAUUUGGCUUUCCCUCUUGAACAAGACUUUCAUGUAAUAUUAAAAGAUAAUAAAAAAUUUUUUGUUUCCCCCCUAAAUACACUACCAAAAAGGAAAAAAGAAGAAGAUAGAAAAGUCAAAAGGCAGAUUGUUUGGAAAGCUAAGUCUUCUAUCAAUGAGUAAAGGUUUUUGCCUUCUUAAAAAUUUUCAAGUCACCAUUUUGGCAAAAUGAAUAACUUAUGGUAGCCUGGAAUUCUAGUUCACAAUAUCAAGUGUUUUAAACCUUUAACAUAUUAAAUAGGCUUCCCAAAAUCAAAUUUCAGCUUUGAAAUAGUCUUUUCUGACCUGUAACUUUGGAAUGCUACAAAGGGGCCCUCCUUGAAGUAUCCAAAAGAGAGGUAAACAGAAUUAUUUAACACAUUAAGAUACAUGGGAAGCAUUGUCAAACUAAUAAUGUUUAAUCUUCAAGUUAUAUUCUAUUGAAUAUUAAUAUGUUGUAAAAUUGUAUGGGAUUUUAAAAAUUCUAAUAUGUCUGAUUAUAUGCUAUCAAUCAUAAUUAUGGUUAUCAUGUUAAGUUAUUGUACACCACAGAAAUAACCAAAUAUUUUUGUAUAAAAUUGCUAACCCAAGUAGAACAACAACAAAAAAAUUAAAUACUGAGGAAAUACUUUGUCAGAUUUUCACGUUAAAUCAGCCGAUACUGAAAUUGUUUAGAUAUACAAUUUGAACUCCACAGUCUAAGUCAAAUUACCUAAGAUAAUUAAGGUCUUUUUUGAAAAGGUCAACAAAUUAAUUUUUUAGACCAAAAUUGACAGACCACUAGCAAGACUAAUAAAGAAGAAAAGAGAGAAGAAUCAAAUAGACUCAAUAAAAAAUGACAAAGGGGAUACUCCAAACUCUUGGUAUUAUCCUCCCAAUAGUCAUAAUAAUGGCCUCCCUGGUGUUCUGUAUUCUCUAAAGAUUUUAAAUGUUUGCAUGCAGCCAUCUGUAGAACAUCAAAUGGUCUCUCUUCAACUGGAAUGACAGAAGCUAAAAGAAAUGUACAAUGAUAAGGACACCGUAACCUGUGAACAAUAUGCUGAGACCAGAAACCCAAAAUGAUGGUAACAGGGAGUGGCACUAAGGCACUAAGUUUUAGUCACAUUCUCACCUAAGUGAGAACCUGACCAAAAAGGAUAAAUUUUUUAAACAAAAUUAUUGGAGGCCAUCAUUUCAGACUAAGCUCAUGCACUAGGACCCAGCAGGCCAAACCAAACUAAAAUGGAGUCACUCAUGCUAAAUGAAACAUAAUCAAACUAAGUCUUUAAGGAAAUACAUAGAUCCUAAAACAGACCUGUUUUGUUUUUCUCCUGUAAACAGGCUAUUCCAGCAUAAGGAGGCACCCUCUACUCAGUCCUUGUUUCUACCUUUGCAAAACUCACUGUUCUACUGAUUCUCAGUGGGUUUCAAGUACAUUUACAAUGGCGAUAGUGACAUCAAUAGCUAAAGUUUUGGUCAGUCUCUCAAAAUUGAGAAAAUGACCACAAAGAGGGAAUGGUUAAAGCAAAUGAAAUAUGGCCUGAGAAGAUUCCGUAUUCCUAUAUUUGAGUUCUUGUGGAUGAACUGCAACCUACCUUAAUAGGUAGACAAGAUUGAAAACCUAACUUAGGAGUAUGCUCCUGUAAUAAUAGCUAAGCCUUGGCCAAUCCCAGUGUCCAUAGUCCAACCACUCAUACACUGCUGUGUUCACACUGUGUUCAAAUAAGGUAAAUGCUGAGCUGUAACCAACCAACCCAAUCUGUACCUCACUUCCAAUUUCCGUACAUCAUUUCCAAAUUUUUGUCUAUAAAUCUUCUUCCACCACAUGGCUGCACUGUAAUCUCUGUGAAUCUGCUGUGAUUCUGGAGGCUGCCCAAUUUGCAUAUUGUUCACUGCUCAGUUAACCUCCUUUAAAUUUAAUUUGUCUGAAAUUUUUAUUUUAUCAAGACAUAAAUUCAACAAAAGAAAUUAGAAAAAAAGGGAGCAAAACGAUAAAAAAAAAAAAAAGCAGAAUGGAUGGAAUAGGAGAUUUCAAUCCAGGAAUGAAUAAAUGAACAAAAGGAAAACUAGGGCCGGGUGCCGGUGGCUCACGCCUGUAAUCCCAGCACUUUGGGGCACCGAGGGUGGGAGACCACGAGGUCAAGAGUUCAAGACCAUCCUGGCAAACAUGGUAAAACCCCGUCUCUACUAAAAAUACAAAAAUUAGCUGGGUGUGAUGGCGUACACCUGUAGUCCCAGCUACUCAGGAGGCUGAGGCAGGAGAAUGGCUUGAACCCAGGAGGCAGAGAUUACAUUUAGCUGAGAUCAUGCCACUGCACUCCAGUCUGGUGACAGAGUGAGACUCUAUCUCAAAAAAAAUAAAUAAAUAAAAUAAAAUAAAAAUUAAAAGAAAAACUAAACUUGAUAAAAUGAAAAUAUAACUCCUUAAAAACAAUACAGAUUAAAAAAUAACUAGUCAAAUUAAGACAAAAAUGAGUAGAAACACAACUUUAGAUAGUGUGAUAUGGAAUUAUUCACUGAGAAAGUCAUGUCGAAUAGACACCUGUAAGAGUGAAGAAGAAAAUCAUCAGAUAUCAUGGGAAAGCGUUCUCAUGAGAGGGACAGCAAGUGACUGGUUUCUAAUGUGUUCCCAGAAUAGCAAGGGAUCAAUGUGAUUGGAUCAGAGGAAGAGGGAGAAAGAGUUGAAGAAGUCAGAAAUGCAGGGUGAGAUGAAGAUGGCCUUGAAGGUCAUGUAAGAAUUUUGGAUUUUAUCCUGAUUGAAACUGAUGCUAUUAGAAGGUUUUGAUCAAAGAAGUAACAUGAUCAGCCUUAUGAUCUAAAAGGAUCACUCUGGCUUCUAUGUUUAAAAUAAAUGAAAGAGAGGCAAGAUCAGAAGCAGGAACCACACUAAUCUGUUUUCAUAAUUCAUAUGAGCAGCAGCAGAGAUGGUGAUAAAUGGUCAGAUUCUAACUACGUUUAAACUAGAGACCAGGAUGAUGGUAAGAUUUUACUGAGGUUUAUCAUUUACUGAAGAUGGGAGAAUGCAAGAUAAAUGGCUUUGUGCAGGCUGAUCUGGAGAUCAUUUUUGGAUAUUUCAAGUUUUAGAUGCCAGUCAGAUAUUCAGUGAAAAUAUUGAGUAGCUAUUAUAAGCCAAGGGUGAUCAAAAUGACAUUAAUGAUUUCCUUUGAUUUUGCUAAACUUUAGAUAGGCUUCUUCAUGAUUAUAGGCCCCCUUUUUCAUAGAGCAUUUACUUCAGAAAUUAUAAAUCCUUUCCCUGCCCUUUUGAGAUGUAAAUCUUCCAGCUUCUUGCCAGUUUUACCAGCCAGGAAUGUCUUUUUCAAAAACCUGGGAGCCACCCCUUUGAACUAUAAUCUUCAAGAUAGAUCAAUCUCCUAUCUUCCAAUCUCUGUGGAAAGGUAGGAGUCUUAAAUAAGUGCCCAUUAGCAAAUACAAAUGACCUUUUUCAGUAGUUUGACUAAACCCGUUCUUGACUGUCUAACUCCAACCAGUACAAUUGUUCUUUCACAAGGGAAAAGUCCAUGCUAAAUCUAAAUAUUUGGGAGUCAUCGGUGUAUCCAUUUAAAUAUUUACUUUUUAACUUAAAUUUCCUACAUCUAGCAUAAAUAUAUUUAUUUUGCUUAAAUGUCUUACAACUGGUACAAAUAUGUUGAUUUAUUCAGCAAUCAUUGUAACACUGUACUUACUAAAGAUGUCCAAGAUAAAUUACCUCAACUUCUAAAGAACUUUUCCUUGUUCCUGGAGCUCAAUCAUAGUAUUUUAUAUUCCCAACUUCACUAUGAACAAAGAAAAAAAUAACUCAGAGCAUUCUGAGCUAUGAGGUAUGUGAAAAUUUAUCAGACCCGGAAAGACAUAACUUUAAUCAUGCUCCCUGCACCCACACCAAGGGACAAUUGUUUAAAGGAUUUUUGUUCCUGACUUGCUGCCUGUCCCAUUAUCUUCAUGUUCCUGGAAUUUUUGAUGCAAAGAAAGAUGUAUAACCAGUCAAUAGCUUAUUUUACUUUAAUGUAAAUUCUCAGUAAACAACUUAGGAACUGCCUCUUCUUUUUUUUUUUUUUUUCUUAAAAACCCACUUGUAACUGCUGCUAACCUGAGCAUACAUUAAUUGAAACUUAAAUCCAUCACUCCUGGGCUACAGUUCUCAAACACGGCCCAAGUAAACUCUCUAUUUACACUGACUUAGAUUUGUUUUUUUCUUUAAGGUCUACAAUUGUUAGCAUUGGAGAGCACUCAAGACUGUUUUCAAAGAUCUAGAGGGUGGAAAUUUGAUUGAUGUGUUGAUGGGAGAUAAAACAGCUUUGAAUCUUAGAAUUCUCUUAGAAUUGUCCCCACUUCUCUCCUCAACUUGUCUCUCAUUUUUUGUAUUCGGCCUCACAGUCUCUUCUCUUUUUAGAUGAAUUAUCUUCAUGUAUUGUCCCCACCAGGGGAAAGAGAGCUCCACACCCCUAAGCUAGAAUUAGUCCCAGUGGAAGACAGUGAAUGGAUAGCUUGGGACUGAUGCUAUAAUAUAUAGGCUUUUUAUCCGAUUCUUGUCUUUGAGAUGAUUCUCCUUUGUUGUGAGAUGAUUCUUCUUUGAUUUUCUGUAUCAAGGUUAAGUAUAGGGGGUGCGGGCCUUGAGUAAACAUUUUCAAGAGACCAAAAGGCCAGCUUUUGCUUUAGGCAACUUGAGUUUAUUUCUUUUACAGGCAAAUAAUUUUUUAAAAAAUAAUAUAACUCGUGAUUUAAGCUAUUAUGAAUAGGAGCUUCCAAAAAUAGGUUUAAGGUUUAAGGUUUAAGUGAAAGCUGAUAAUAAAGGAGAAAAUGCAUGAAUAAAAGAAUGAUAAUAACAAGCUGCAAAAGUAUAAAAAUGGUACAAAUGUUCAAAGGAGGUCAGAAGCAGUGACACGAUGGAUUUUCAUGAACAUUCACUUGGUAAGGCACAAUUAUUAUUAGGGUCAGCCAGAUUACAUAUUUAGGCCUCAGGCCUGUGAGCUCAUGCUAAUUUGAACAGCUGUUCAAAAGAAGUUCAUCGCUAUUUGACAGAUGGAGAAAAUGAUACUCACUAAUGGCCCAAGUUGCUUUGACACAGACUGAUUUCCCUAUUGCUAAAACUUACUUGCAGUAUCAAUUGCAAAUAGCUUUGACAAUUUGAACCUGUUCUUCAGUGCUGACAUCCUUAGGAAGAACUUUUCAAAAUCAUAGACCCUAAUUUGAAAGAAUAUUAUGGUUAUUGUAGCCAACUUCCCCUUAUUCUCUUCUAAACAAGAAUUGAGAAGUGGUAAACUGUGGGUCAGAUACAUAUUCCCACUGUUUGAAGGAGAUUGUUAGUCACCUUUGUUGCUGAUUGUCAUUAUUUGGAGCUGAUCUCUCCUACCUUUGGAAAUAAAGGGGAUGAUUGCAUUUUAUUCACAAGAAAGGGAUUUAUAACAUUUAUCAUGUUGGAAGAAACAGCUGUUUCUCUUUACUACAGCAUUUGCUUUCUUUCAUCACAUAAGAAGUCAGCUGGGAGAUGCUACUAAAUGUUGCAUUGAAUGAAACACAAACUUAAGAGUUUGUUACUAUUUGGAAAUAAUUUUUUGCAUAAUUGUUUUUAUAGAAGAGAAUAAAAUGUCCUUAAAAUAAUUUUUUAUCAGAACAAAGAAAACAGAAAACACAAUUGGAAUGAAGGCUAUUCAGUCAGAAAAUGUAGAUAAAAUGUAUGAGAAUUAAUGCAAUAAUUGAAAAACAUUUUGCAUUUCUAUAGUAGGUAUUAGGAAAGCUCACAAACCAGGGUUUAAGGGGCAAAUUUCUUUACUCUCUUUCAAAGUUACAGACCAGAUUAUUUAGGAUCCUAAAUCUUCUCAGAUAACACUUUCUGAUGUCCUUUAUUAUUUAGAUUAAUGAGAAGCAAUAUUGUAGUAAGUGCAGUUUGGGGACAGAGUAUUGUGUUUGUUGAAUUUUGUUGAAGGCCUUUUCUGCAUCUAUUGAGAUAAUCAUGUGGUUUUUGUCAUUGGUUCUGUUUAUGUGAUGGAUUACAUUUAUCGAUUUGCAUAUGUUGAACCAGCCUUCCAUCCCAGGGAUGAGGCCAACUUGAUCAUGGUGGAUAAGCUUUUUGAUGUGCUGCUGGAUUCAGUUUGCCAGUAUUUUAUUGAGAAUUUUCUCUUCGAUGUUCAUCGGGGAUAUUGGUCUAAAAUUCUCUUUUUUUGUUGUGUCUGUGCCAGGCUUUGGUAUCAGGAUGAUUCUGGCCUCAUAAAAUGAAUUAGGGAGGAUUCUCUGUUUUUCUAUUGAUUGGGAUAAUUUCAGAAGGAAUGGU